UUAAACGGCCGCGGUAUCCUAACCGUGCAAAGGUAGCGUAACACUUGUCUCCUAAAUAGAGACCUGUAUGAACGGCUAAAUGAGGACUAANCUGUCUCCUUNAANNAAUCAGUGAAACUGAUCUACCAGUACAAAAGCUGGUAUUUUACCAUUAGACGAGAAGACCCUGUGGAGCUUUAAAUCUAAGACCAACACCAAAACCAUAAACAACAAGCCAUGGCCCAAGAUUUUAAGUUGGGGCGACUUCGGAACAAAACAAAACUUCCGAGCACAAGGAAGCCAACCUUAUUAAGACCAACAAGUCAAAACAAAAAUUGACCCAGUAUUACUGAUCACCGAACCAAGUUACCCCAGGGAUAACAGCGCAAUCUUCUUCAAGAGUUCCCAUCGACAAGAAGGUUUACGACCUCGAUGUUGGAUCAGGACACCCAAAUGGUGCAGCCGCUAUUAAAGG
rnacentral:rRNA from 1 species